rnacentral:rRNA from 1 species
AACGAACGCUGGCGGCAUGCCUAACACAUGCAAGUCGAACGAGACCUUCGGGUCUAGUGGCGCACGGGUGCGUAACGCGUGGGAACCUGCCCUUAGGUUCGGAAUAACUCCCCGAAAGGGGUGCUAAUACCGGAUAAUGUCUUCGGACCAAAGAUUUAUCGCCUUUGGAUGGGCCCGCGUUGGAUUAGCUAGUUGGUAGGGUAAAAGCCUACCAAGGCGACGAUCCAUAGCUGGUCUGAGAGGAUGAUCAGCCACACUGGGGCUGGGACACGGCCCAGACUCCUGCGGGAGGCAGCAGUGGGGAAUAUUGGACAGUGGGCGAAAGCCUGAUCCAGCACUGCCGCGUGAGUGAUGAAGGCCUUAGGGUUGUAAAUCUCUUUUACCCGGGAUGAUAAUGACAGUACCGGGAGAAUAAGCACCGGCUAACUCCGUG